GCGAUAAAGAAGGGAGUGGGGUCUCCAUGGGGUUCGAUAACGACGGGAUAGGAAAAAGGGAUGAAGCGUUUAGAUUCUCUGCAGAGUGAGCUGGAGAAAUUACAGAGAUGAAUCAUCGCCAGGCUGGCUGGUUCAUCACUGUUGAGAUGAAAGUAAAGUGGAUCCCGAAGAAGGUGGAUGAAUCUGGACCGUGAUGGGAAAAUCAAACCAAAACCCAUGUGGAUAAUUUUCGGUUACCGUGUCCGGUUUACUUCAACCGGACGUUACAUCGUUCGUUUCCAAAGGUUUCUUUCCUCCACUCAAGAUUUUCACGUAAC